CUGUUCAUAAGUGUAGCAGAAACAGAACCUUAUUGAUGUCAUUAGCAACACCUAGGCCAGCCAUUCUUUUACAUAUAGUUACUGUAUCUUGCCUCUUUCCCAAAUCAUAAUUACUAGGGUCUAAAAUAAAAAUGAGACCAGUGACUGUUCUCCACUUCUGUGGCUUUGUGUAGAAUCACCAAAUGGACCAAGUGAAGAUGCUGAGGUUGCCACCACAACGCAGAAUGCCCAAAACCAGACCGCAGCGGCCCACACUGUAGGAACUGAUGGUGCAAGUGAGGAUGCUGUUGUGUUAACCACUGCACUGAAUCUGCAAAAUGGAACUACCUCUGCCCAAGAUGGAACCAUGAUCACUGACUCCCAUGAUGACUCCUGAAGUGACUGCUCAGAAUGCUAAUGCUUAAUGGAAUUCCUCCUGACAUCUUGUGGCAUUUCCUGCACUUCCUUUUUACAUCUUGAAUUCAAUAAAGGCCAGAUUUCCUUAA